rnacentral:rRNA from 1 species
UUAAAGGGCUGCAGUAUACUGACUGUACAAAGGUAGCAUAAUAAUUAGUCUUUUAAUUGAAGACUUGUAUGAAAGAUUUGAUGAGAUAUAAGCUGUCUCUUUUUUAUAUUUAGAAUUUAAUUUUUUAGUAAAAAAGCUAAAAUUAUUUUAAAAGACGAGAAGACCCUAUAGAGUUUUAUAUUUAAGUUUAAUUAUAUAUUUAUGUUUAAUUUUAAAAUUAAUUAGUUUAAUUAUUUUAUUGGGGUGAUAGAAAAAUUAAAAUAACUUUUUUUUUAAUUUAAACAUUAAUUAGUGGUUAUAUGAUCCAUAGUUUAUGAUUAUAAGAAAAAAUUACCUUAGGGAUAACAGCGUAAUUUUUUUUUUUAGUUCUUAUAAGAAAAAAAGU